rnacentral:rRNA from 1 species
AGUGGCAGACGGGUGAGUAACGCGUGGGAACCUUCCCAAUGGUGCGGAAUAACCCAGGGAAACCUGAGCUAAUACCGCAUACGCCCGAGAGGGGAAAGAUUUAUCGCCAUUGGAUGGGCCCGCGUAGGAUUAGCUAGUUGGUGAGGUAAUGGCUCACCAAGGCGACGAUCCUUAGCUGGUCUGAGAGGAUGAUCAGCCACACUGGACUGAGACACGGCCCAGACUCCUACGGGAGGCAGCAGUGGGGAAUAUUGGACAAUGGGGGCAACCCUGAUCCAGCCACGCCGCGUGAGUGACGAAGGUCUUCGGAUUGUAAAACUCUUUUGGCGGGGACGAUAAUGACGGUACCCGCAGAAUAAGCCCCGGCUAACUUCGUGCCAGCAGCCGCGGUAAUACGAAGGGGGCUAGCGUUGUUCGGAAUCACUGGGCGUAAAGCGCACGUAGGCGGACUUUCAAGUCAGGGGUGAAAUCCCGGGGCUCAACCUCGGAACUGCCUUUGAUACUGUUGGUCUUGAGCCCGGAAGAGGUGGGUGGAAUUCCUAGUGUAGAGGUGAAAUUCGUAGAUAUUAGGAAGAACACCAGUGGCGAAGGCGGCCCACUGGUCCGGUGCUGACGCUGAGGUGCGAAAGCGUGGGGAGCAAACAGGAUCAGAUACCCUGGUAGUCCACGCCGUAAACGAUGGAUGCCAGCUGUCG